GUGUAGGGUGUACAGUACUGCAGGUGUACAACAGUGUAGGGUGUACAGUACUGCAGGUGUACAACAGUGUAGGGUGUACAGUACUGCAGGUGUACAACAGUGAAGAGUGUACAGUACUGCAGGUUGUACAACAGUGAAGGGGUGUACAGUACUGCAGGUGUACAACA